AGGCUUGCACAGGUGCUGCAUGGCUGUCGUCAGCUCGUGUCGUGAGAUGUCGGUUAAGUCCGCUAACGAGCGCAACCCUCACUGUGUGUUAUAUGUGUCACACGGGACCGCCGGUCUUAAGCCGGAGGAAGGUGGGGAUGACGUCAAGUCAGCAUGGCCUUUAUAUCCUGGGCUACACACACGCUACAAUGGCCAACACAAUAGGUUGCUAAGCCGCGAGGUGGAGCCAAUCCAUAAAGUUGGUCUCAGUUCAGAUUGUAGGCUGCAACCCGCCUGCAUGAAGAUGGAGUUGCUAGUAACCGCAGGUCAGCUAUACUGCGGUGAAUACGUUCCCGGGGCUU
rnacentral:rRNA from 1 species